rnacentral:rRNA from 1 species
GACGAACGCUGGCGGCGUGCUUAACACAUGCAAGUCGAACGGAAAGGCCCUGCUUUUGUGGGGUGCUCGAGUGGCGAACGGGUGAGUAACACGUGAGUAACCUGCCCUUGACUUUGGGAUAACUUCAGGAAACUGGGGCUAAUACCGGAUAGGAGCUCCUGCUGCAUGGUGGGGGUUGGAAAGUUUCGGCGGUUGGGGAUGGACUCGCGGCUUAUCAGCUUGUUGGUGGGGUAGUGGCUUACCAAGGCUUUGACGGGUAGCCGGCCUGAGAGGGUGACCGGCCACAUUGGGACUGAGAUACAGCCCAGACUCCUACGGGAGGCAGCAGUAAGGAAUAUUGCACAAUGGGCGGAAGCCUGAUGCAGCAACGCCGCGUGCGGGAGGACGGCCUUCGGGUUGUAAACCGCUUUCGCCUGUGACGAAGCGUGAGUGAAGGUAAUGGGUAAAGAAGCACAGGCUAACUACGU